rnacentral:lncRNA from 1 species
ACUGAACCUGCAAGACUGGGGUUAAGGGAGUGGGAUGAGCUCUAUAGCCCAGUGAGUAGAACAGUAAAACAAGUCAUUAAAAUAUGAUCUUAUGGAAUGCAUCAUAUCACAGACAAACCACAUCAAGGGUAAACCUGUCACCACAUAGUCCCAGUAUCUCAUACCAGGGCGUAGUCAAAGGCACCUGGAUUUCCUGUUUCAUAU